UUUGACCGAGCCGAGCCACAGCGGAUGCCGCGGGUCGCGGUCCUGACCGUACGUGGCGAGCAGGGCCUGCGCCUC
rnacentral:antisense_RNA from 1 species